rnacentral:rRNA from 1 species
GACGAACGCUGGCGGCGUGCCUAAUACAUGCGAGUCGAGCGAACCAAUAAGAAGCUUGCUUUUUGUUGGUUAGCGGCGGACGGGUGAGUAACACGUGGGUAACCUGCCUGUAAGACCGGGAUAACUCCGGGAAACCGGUGCUAAUACCGGAUAGAUUAUCUUUCCGCAUGGAGAGAUAAGGAAAGAUGGCUAUUGCCAUCACUUACAGAUGGGCCCGCGGCGCAUUAGCUAGUUGGUGAGGUAACGGCUCACCAAGGCGACGAUGCGUAGCCGACCUGAGAGGGUGAUCGGCCACACUGGGACUGAGACACGGCCCAGACUCCUACGGGAGGCAGCAGUAGGGAAUCUUCCGCAAUGGACGAAAGUCUGACGGAGCAACGCCGCGUGAGCGAAGAAGGUCUUCGGAUCGUAAAGCUCUGUUGUUAGGGAAGAACAAGUAUCGGAGGAAAUGCCGGUACCUUGACGGUACCUGACGAGAAAGCCACGGCUAACUACGUG